rnacentral:lncRNA from 1 species
AAAAGACUCAGCUUGCAGCUCAAUAGUAUCUCCAAAUGACGAUUGUUGCAGAGCAUCUUCUUGUGGAAAUGAAGGAAGGAGGGAGGAGAACUUUUCACACCGCACAAACAAGACAGCAAAAGAAACUAUUCUUUCCUUUUCUCAACCACCACACAUUCACAAAAAAUUCUCACAGCUUCUGGGUGGCUUGAGUACAGGGGACGCAAAGUGCAUUCUGGAGAUGUACAAAACCGAAAGAAUAAAAUACAAAAGGACUGCAGCAGUUUCAAAUGGCCCAACAACUCAAGCGGCAGAGACAAGUGUUCGACAGAGAACCAACACAGCGCUCUUUGACAGCAAUGCAGACUCACAGGUUACCCCAGUCGUUUAAAAUGUUG